UGAGCAAUCUGCCCUUCUCAUCGGAAUAAGCGUUAGGAAACGACGUCUAAUGCCGAAUACGACCUUCCUUUCGCAUGAUCGGAGGUAGGAAACGCCGUCCCGGGCGGGAAGGAAAAGGG
rnacentral:rRNA from 1 species